rnacentral:rRNA from 1 species
GACGAACGCUGGCGGCGUGCUUAACACAUGCAAGUCGAACGAUGAAGCCGGAGCUUGCUCUGGUGAAUUAGUGGCGAACGGGUGAGUAACACGUGAGUAACCUGCCCUUGACUCUGGGAUAACUGCUAGAAAUGGUAGCUAAUACCGGAUACGACCCUCGGAGGCAUCUCCAGGGGGUGGAAAGAAUUUCGGUCAAGGAUGGACUCGCGGCCGAUCAGGUAGUUGGUGAGGUAACGGCGCACCAAGGCGACGACGGGUAGCCGGCCUGAGAGGGGGACCGGCCACACUGGGACUGAGACACGGCCCAGACUCCUACGGGAGGCAGCAGUGGGGAAUAUUGCACAAUGGGCGCAAGCCUGAUGCAGCAACGCCGCGUGAGGGAUGACGGCCUUCGGGUUGUAAACCUCUUUUAGUAGGGAAGAAGCGAAAGUGACGGUACCUGCAGAAAAAGCACCGGCUAACUACGUGCCAGCAGCCGCAGUAA